rnacentral:rRNA from 1 species
CCUACGGGGUGCAGCAGUGGGGAAUAUUUGGCAAUGGGCGCAAGCCUGACCCAGCAACGCCGCGUGAAGGAAGAAGGCUUUCGGGUUGUAAACUUCUUUUAUGCGGGACGACAGAAAUGACGGUACCUCAUGAAUAAGCCAAGGCUAACUACGUUCCAGCAGCCGCGGUAAUACGGAGGUGGCAAGCGGUAUCCGGAUUUACUGGGUGUAAAGGGCGUGUAGGCGGGACUGCAAGUCAGAUGUGAAAAGUAUGGGCUCAACCCAACACCUGAAUUUGAAACUGUAGUUCUUGAGUGAUGGAGAGGCAGGCGGAAUUCCGGGUGUAGCGGUGAAAUGCGUAGAUAUACGGAGGAACACUAGUGGCGAAGGCGGGCUGCUGGACAUUAACUGACGCUGAGGCGCGAAAGCGUGGGGAGCAAACAGGAUUAGAUACCCUAGUAGUC